rnacentral:lncRNA from 1 species
UCGAUCCGAUCUCACCCACACCUUUCUUUCAUUUCCAUCAACCCUGCAAAACCCCACCGAACAGCUUUCUUUCCUUUCAUUUGUAUUUUCCUUUCAUCUACUCUUCAACGCCUACAAGCCGUCCAAGUCUCCUGCUCCAUUUCAUCCCAACAUGCAACGUGUUCCAGUCAACCAGCAAAAAUUGGGUUGACUCCUCUUGGUGCGCUCCACGACCAGCAUCGAUCAAACUGCUUCUUCUCACCGAAGGCCAAAGCCCACGUCCGUGAGCCUCACGCUCCAGCUGCCACGUCCGCGGUCUGCCUUUCUUCGGUCAACACCAGCGGCCAGUGGACCGCGCGCCCCUACUACCAGCGAUCGUGGCCAUCUCCGCUUUGCUUUCUCGCUGUCACCGAACGACCCAGCAGCGUCCUCGUGUCUUCUCCAAUUUCAUCAAGCUGCCCGCGCGUGACACCAGCUCGCCAGCAAGCUGCAGCAGCGCACGAAGCAAGCCGUGAAUUCGUGCGUCUUCGGCCCAGCAAAAUCGUCAACAGCUCACGCAUUUCACGGGCCCAGCAAAGCCAGCAACUCGGCCCAAGAUUUUAACACUUUGGCCCGCUUGAAGCCAGCCCACAUUUCAGCCAAGAUCAGCCCACAAAUGCAAGUACAGCAGCCCAUUUUUUUUUUUCCCAUUUGAAGCCCACGAAAAUUGCAUCAGUUCAGCCCGGUUUCUUGAAGCCCAGCAAUUUAGCUCGUCGGCCCAAGAAGUAGGCCCAAGCCCAGAUUUUUGCUGUGGGCUUGCGAGGUUUCUUGGCGCGGCCCGAGUGUCCA